rnacentral:ncRNA from 1 species
AAGAGCCGGAUGCAUUGAAAGGUGCACGUCCGGUUCGGAGGGGGGGGUUUGGAAACCAACUGUGGUGACACAGUAAUGGCGCCAAGCUCCUACCCUAC